GAGGGUAUAGAUCAGUGGUAGAGUGUGUGCUUAGCAUGCUUGAAGUCCUGGGUUCAAUCCCCAGUACCUCUA
rnacentral:tRNA from 1 species